rnacentral:lncRNA from 1 species
GAAACAUCAUGGAAUCAAACUUUCUUGCUCCAGCUUUAAAACUGACAAGUUAAAGCAGCAGAAGAAAGUGAUUUUGGCCUGGUUUGAUCCACUGCAUGCUUGCAUAAACAUAGAAUAACAGCGCGUGGUGUGCAUCAUCUCCUUGCAAACAUGAAAAAGUGAGCGAAGGGAAUUUUUAUGAAUACAAUCUGUACCUGUGUGCUUUAAAAGGAUAAUUUGACCAGAAGCUGCAGCAAAAGAGAAGUUAAAGGGAGAGGUGUUUCCCUAGAAUCUGAAAAGGCGAUAGCUAGUUUUAUAGUCCUGAUAAGAAGAACCACGUGGAAGGGAAUGAUGAGCUUCCCACAGCUUAGAAAUUUGUGCAAGACUAUUCUGGGAAAGCCCAUUGUGAUGGCACCAGGAAAACUUACUCGGCUCUGCAGUCCGUCAUGCCAGCGCAGGGUCAGGCCCCUCAGCAUCAGCAGGAGAGUCUGAAAUAACAGGAGGUAGCUGUGCAUAUAAGACUUGUUGUGCUUUUGCAACUCAAAGCGCAUAAGGUCUAUCCACAAGCAUCCUGUUUGGAAAACACCAUUACAUGCCAAGCCUUUACACUGUAUUACAACCCUGCUGGUUAAACUUGCCUCCAAGAUCCGAAUUUCCUACCAGAAGAAUGGAGACAGAUGCAGCUUCCAGGGGCAGCCCAGGACUCCCCCAAGGAAAGUUGGAUGCUUUGUUAAAGCCUUAUUGGGAUGCUGAGACUCAGCAAAGCCCAACACAAACAAAGCAAAGAUGCAGCUGAUGGAAGAAGACAAGUAAUCCUUGCCAGCACCAAGUUUUGUUUGGAGCAGGGCAAAGUAAACUGCAUGGAUAUAGCAACGCACAUCAAAUGGCUGCAUCUGUUUGCCUCAUAGUACUCAAUUCUAGUCUUAAAUACCAAAUCUGGAGACAGAACAACUCCCAGCAUCAUUUCUAAGGGCAGACUGGUAUUUCACGCUCACCAUGUAUGCUUUUGUAUGCAUGUUCCGUGGUCAGAAGCCCAGCAGACAUGCACACAUUGGCACUAUGCUCUGCCCAGCUCAAGCAUGAAAGCUGGAAGCCCUGCUGCCCUCCUGUGAGUGCCAGCCCGUGCCUUACAGCUCCCAGCCGCCUGCAG